GUGUCACACACGUGCUCGUGGGCAGGCACGCACAGACCCGUGGCCACACGCGGGAGGAGCCAGACACCCACGGGGACUGCACACACCGGAGGGGCUCACACCAAGGGGCAGACCAGACACCCACACGGCGAGGGCACACGCGCACCCGCCCAGGCCAGACCCAGACAGACCCCACGGGAGGCCCCCCACCCAGAGGCCAGACACGGACCAGGCAGCCAGCAUCCCCUGGGAGGCCACAUCAGACCUCACCGUUCACCCGCGGUCCCAGAACCCGCCCUGUGCAGGCCCCCAGCGAGUGUGUGCACGGUGUGUGCGUGUGUCUCUAUGUGUGUAAAGAGAGACCACCUCCGAGGCCUGAGCCCUGUUCCCACAGGGCAGUGACCCCGCCUCCCCCCCACCAAGCCCCGGCUCUCAGCCCAGGACGCAGGCCUCCAACCACAGCUCGCCCCUCUUACCUGGAGAGAUGGGGGGAUGGAUGCAGAUACCAGCGGGACACCCCGUUGCCUUCAGCGCCGACAGCAGCUGGGAAGGCCCGCCGCGGAGUGGGCAGCGCCCGGACCACCACCUCGACGCCCAGGCCUGGGGCAGCCCCACCGCCAUCGCGGCCAGGCAGGUGUUCCACGGAGUUUUCCAGAGGCUACGUGAGGCGUGAUCUCGCGAGAGCUUCAAAGCCCUGGCAGGUGUGAUAACCCAGCUGGCCUUGUGUUAACCUCACUCAAGAGAGCUGCGAAGUGAAACACAAGGCCACUCUUUGGGCUGCUUUGCUGGUUUUAAGACAGAGCUAUUUUUCAUUAAAAAAAAGUGCAUUAUUCCUGUGAGUACAGUGAGUUCGUUGUCAUGAAGCAACGAAUGCAUAAAGACCUCUGUUUUUUCUCAGCUUUAAUUUCCAUCGCUGCAAAUGUCGAUAUACACAUACACAACAGCUCUGGGCCUGCAAUGAUUUUUUAAACGCUAAGGGGCCCUGAGACCCCCAGUGUCUGAGACCUGCUGCCUGAGACACGUGGCUAAUGAUUGAUUACAGCUCCUCUGCGCACCCAGCCUCAGUGGAGGACACACACAGGGAGCGCGUAUUGAGUCCUUUCGGCGCCCAGCCCCCAGCUAAAGGCUUUACAAGGUCAUCUCAGGGAAUCCUCACACCAGCCUUAUGCGGGCGGUAAUGUCAAGGCCGAGGAGGAAACCCAGGCUGAGCUGUGCGUCCAGGGCCAUGCUCCGGCCUUGCAGCUGGCCGUGUGACCCGCACUGGCCAGUUUUCAGGGGAAGUCAUGCGUUUCGUGUCCAGGCGGACACCCUGGGAGCUGGCAGCAGCCCCUGCUUCCUUCUCUCUGCCACAGCGACUGGCAGCGUUCCCGAUGCUGGCUGCCCCGUCAGCCUGACUUGACGGCACACAGCAAAGCCACAGCU
ensembl:lncRNA